rnacentral:rRNA from 1 species
UACAGAGGGGGCAAGCGUUGUUCGGAAUUACUGGACGUAAAGGGCGCGUAGGCGGCCUUCUAAGUCGAACGUGAAAUCCCCGGGCUCAACCCGGGAACUGCGUCCGAUACUGGAAGGCUUGAAUCCGGGAGAGGGAUGCGGAAUUCCAGGUGUAGCGGUGAAAUGCGUAGAUAUCGUUUGGAACGCCAAAGGCGAAAGCAGACGACUGGGACUGAGCUGACGCUGAGACACGAAAGCCAGGGGAGCAAACGGG